rnacentral:rRNA from 1 species
AUGCGUCUGAUUAGCUUGUUGGCGGGGUAACGGCCCUCCAAGGCGACGAUCAGUAGGGGUUCUGAGAGGAAGGUCCCCCACAUUGGAACUGAGACACGGUCCAAACUCCUACGGGAGGCAGCAGUGAGGAAUAUUGGUCAAUGGGCGAGAGCCUGAACCAGCCAAGUAGCGUGCAGGAAGACGGCCCUAUGGGUUGUAAACUGCUUUUAUAAGGGAAUAAAGUGAGUCUCGUGAGACUUUUUGCAUGUACCUUAUGAAUAAGGACCGGCUAAUUCCGUGCCAGCAGCCGCGGUAAUACGGAAGGUCCGGGCGUUAUCCGGAUUUAUUGGGUUUAAAGGGAGCGUAGGCCGGAGAUUAAGCGUGUUGUGAAAUGUAGACGCUCAACGUCUGCACUGCAGCGCGAACUGGUUUCCUUGAGUACGCACAAAGUGGGCGGAAUUCGUGGUGUAGCGGUGAAAUGCUUAGAUAUCACGAAGAACUCCGAUUGCGAAGGCAGCUCACUGGAGCGCAACUGACGCUGAAGCUCGAAAGUGCGGGUAUCGAACAGGAUUAGAUACCCUGGUAGUCCGCACGGUAA